UUUUAGCUUGCGAAUUAACAAAAACUUAAUAUUAAUAGGGAGCAAAUCAUCGAGAACCACAGCUACGAUGCAUUUUUCGCCUUUUUGAAAUACUUCUACACCAACGAGGUUGAUUUGCAGCCAGAUUUGGCUCUAGAGGUUUACGCCUUGGCCCACUUCUAUCAAAUGACUGAUCUGCAAAAGGAGUGCUUGAAAAUGAUUAAAAGAGGCCUGACCGUGGAUAACGCUGCUUUGAUUUACGACAAUGCAAUUCAACUUGGUGCCGAGGAACUUAAGGAGUUCAUUUUGAAGUUCUGCAAGAAGCACAUGAAUGCUGUUGUGGAGAGUGAUGGCUUCAAGCUCUUGAACAGCGAUGUCGUGAAAGAUUUCGUCCUUCGUGCUGCGCAGCAAGGAGUGUUUAAAAAAUGAUUAGUAGGCGAUAUUUCCUCUGCUGUGGGAUGCAGAUUGCAUGCUCAAUUUUUGAAAAUUUUGUUUCUUAUUCGAUAAUUAUUAAUUUCGAUGGGUGUUAUCUCUGUAAUGCGCGUGGCUUCUUUGCUCUUAUCUUUUGUUCUUUUCUUGACUGCGCCUCCGUGAGCGACCAGAUAGUUAAAAUUUCACAAAAAUCACCACCUUAGUUUUUACGAUCGUUCCACUCGUCAGCGUAAAUUUUGUAAUUAUGAGAGGAAUAAUUGCUUGUUCUAUUCUAUAUUAAA